rnacentral:rRNA from 1 species
GCCCAGACUCCUACGGGAGGCAGCAGUGGGGAAUAUUGCGCAAUGGGGGGAACCCUGAUGCAGCGACGCCGCGUGGGUGAAGGAGCACCUCGGUGCGUAAAGCCCUAUCGGCAGGGAAGAAACAGACGGUACCUGCAGAAGAAGCCCCGGCUAACUACGUGCCAGCAGCCGCGGUAAUACGUAGGGGGCCAGCGUUAUCCGGAUUUACUGGGUGUAAAGGGAGCGUAGACGGCAGGGCAAGCCAGAAGUGAAAACGCAGAGCUUAACUUUGCGACUGCUUUUGGAACUGCCCAGCUAGAGUACAGGAGAGGUAAGUGGAAUUCCUAGUGUAGCGGUGAAAUGCGUAGAUAUUAGGAGGAACACCAGUGGCGAAGGCGGCUUACUGGACUGAGACUGACGUUGAGGCUCGAAAGCGUGGGGAGCAAACAGGAUUAGAUACCCGCGUAA